GUCUCUUCGGAGACAUCCGAUAAAAUUGGAACGAUACAGAAAAGAUUAGCAUGACCCCUACGCAAGGAUGACACGCAAAAAAGAAUUCAGAAAAAAAAGAUG